CUUGCCUUACAGACUGGGACAACAUUUGGAAACGAAUGCUAAUACCGGAUAUUCAUGCACUGCAGUCGCCAUGCAUUUGGUUCAUGCAAAGCUCAUAUGCGCUGUGCAGCAGCAGCUUUGCGUCCCCAUUGAGUUAGUUGGUGAGGUAACGGCUCCACCAAGCACGAUGCAUGGGUCAGCCGGCCUGCAGCAGGGUGCAACGGCCACAAGGGGACUGAGACACGGCCCUUACUCCUACGGGAGGCAGCAGUGGGGAAUAUUGGACAAUGGACCAAAAGUCUGAUCCAGCAAUUCUGUGUGCACGAUGAAGUUUUUCGGAAUGUAAAGUGCUUUCAGUUGGGCAAGAAGUCAGUGCACGGUACCAACAGAAGAAGCGACGGCUAAAUACGUGCCAGCAGCCGCGGUAAUACGUAUGUCGCAAGCGUUAUCCGGAUUUAUUGGGCGUAAAGCGCGUCUAGGCGGUUUAGUAAGUCUGAUGUGAAAAUGCGGGGCUCAACCCCGUAUUGCGUUGGAAACUGCUAAACUAGAGUACUGGAGAGGUAGGCGGAACUACAAGUGUAGAGGUGAAAUUCGUAGAUAUUUGUAGGAAUGCCGAUGGGGAAGCCAGCCUACUGGACAGAUACUGACGCUAAAGCGCGAAAGCGUGGGUAGCAAACAGGAUUAGAUACCCUGGUAGUCCUACGCCGUAAACGAUGAUUACUAGGUGUUGGGGGUCGAACCUCAGCGCCCAA
rnacentral:rRNA from 1 species